ACAUACGACCAUAGGGUGUGGAAAACAGGGCUUCCCGUCCGCUCAGCCGUACUUAAGCCACACGCCGGUGAGUUAGUAGUUGGGUGGGUGACCACCAGCGAAUCCCCACUGUUGUAUGUU
rnacentral:rRNA from 1 species